rnacentral:lncRNA from 1 species
AUCAUGUUAUUGAGUUUUAUUGUAUGGUGGAUUAUAUAUUAAUUAAUCACUACAGUAGGGGGUUUCUGUGGACCAGCCUUUUAGAGGGGCACGGUAAACCCCAUUAUAUUCUUACCUCGAACGGAGAGGCGCGUAGGGUAUCUCCUGGGGUAAAGUUUAGGGUUCACUUCACGCCAAACCACCACGUGAGGGGGAACUCAGCCAACGCCAAGGAACGGCUAUGUUUUCAAAACAAAAACAUGAUUUAUGUGAAAUGUGAAU